CAGCAGUCGCGGUUAUACUGAGAGGUAGAUUAAGAAAAAUUUGGUUAAAAAUAAUUAGGUGAUAAUUAGCUUAGAAUUAUUUAUAAGUUCUUGUUAAUAAAGGGUGAAAUCGGUUUUUUAGGAUAAGAAGUGUUGAAGAUGUAAAGCUUAAAUUGAGGUUGUUAAGUUAAAGGUAUGGACCAGGAUUAGAUACCCUGUUACACUUUAUUUAAAAUUUAUAUUACCUGGGUAAUAAACAGUUAUUGUCUUGAAACUCAAAGGAUUUGGCGGUAAUUUAGUCUAUUUAGAGGAACCUGUCCUAUAAUCGAUAAACCACGAAGUAUCUUACCUUAUUUAGUAGAGAUCAGUUUGUAUACCGUCAUUAUUAGAUAACUUUAAUAAAAACAGUUGUUACAAUAAUUUUUAAUAUAUUAGAUCAAGGUGCAGCCGAUAGUAAGGUAGAGAUGGGUUACAAUAAUAUAAAUGUAUAACGGAUUAAUAAAUGAAAUUUUUUUGUGAAGGUGGAUUUAAUAGUAAGAAUGAUUUAAUAAGUCAUUUUGAUUGUAGCUCUAGAUUAUGUACACAUCGCCCGUCGCUCUCGUUAAUUAAAGCGAGAUAAGUCGUAACAAAGUAGGUGU
rnacentral:rRNA from 1 species